UACGUAGGGUGCGAGCGUUAAUCGGAAUUACUGGGCGCAAAGCGUGCGCAGGCGGUUUUGUAAGCCAGAUGUGAAAUCCCCGGGCUUAACCUGGGAAUGGCAUUUGGGACUGCAAGGCUGGAGUGCGGCAGAGGAGACUGGAAUUCCUGGUGUAGCAGUGAAAUGCGUAGAUAUCAGGAGGAACACCGAUGGCGAAGGCAGGUCUCUGGGCUGACACUGACGCUCAUGCACGAAAGCGUGGGGAGCAAACAGG
rnacentral:rRNA from 1 species